ensembl:lncRNA
AUCGAUGGUGCUUUUCUAGUUAAGCUACGGGCGAACGUCUUUAUCCCGCAGUUAGGCUGCGAACUUGUGCAGAUGCUCAGGCUUUGGGGGGACGCUCCGGCAUCUGGCGCAGAGGCGCCCGGCGGGGAAAAGUUUGCAGCCCGGGCUUUGGGGCGCGCGGGGGGUAGGAAUUUUCCGGAGAAAAGAGGGGCAUAGAGAGGCGGCACGGGUGGGGAGAGAAAAAAGGAACGUAGGGGGGAGGGGGGGGGAAAAGCAGCUUGCAGGAUGGGAGUUUCUUGCAGAAUUUACAGGACUAAAGAGUUUGGGGAAGUCGCAGAGCCGCAGCGGAAAGGCAGGGGUCUGAGACUACUUUCGAGAGGAGAAACAACGCAAAACGAUCGCUGGACGGCCAGAGCCCUGGUCGAAGGUGUGGACCUGGGGAGGAUCUUCUAAGUCCCUCCAGCGAAGGCAAGUGUGAGACUCUGGCCCUUUAUUUGUAAGAAGCAAGCCUUCAGACUGCAGAAGUGUCGCGCGGGUCGCCGUGCGUUGCGCGAGUGGGAAGAUGGAGGAGGCUGGCACGGUGCUUUCGUGGACGCAAGUGAACCGGGCGUGAAGGCAGGGUGCAAGCUCUGCCCUUGGCCCAGCCCGGCGUGGGUGCCGUCCCAGAUUCCGGGCGGUGCGGGGUGCAGAGAUCUGGAGAGAGUUGCGGGCUCCCCAGCGCAGGCUGCUCUGGGAUUUCGUUGGAAGAUCCGGUAGAGCCUUGGAGGAGAGGGCCGGGGAGGCUGUGUGUGCAGCGGAAGCUUGUACGAAUGCCCCCACAGCUGAAAUGGUGCGCACGAGUAAUUUCUGCGGCGCACCCUUUUAAACAUUGACUGAAGUGAACAAGAUCAAUUUUUUAAAAAAGCAAAAGUAGAAAAUAAAAGGCGUGAGACUUCUUGACUGGCUUGUUCCCGCCUUUCUUCCUUCCCUAUACUCAGAUCAGAAACUUUAAUUGCUCUUAUUCAGUGCGACAACUUUUAAUAAAAGCGUUUGCAUCUUAAGCCCGAGUUGCAACCAUAGAUUUAUUGCGAAGUGACAACGUGUCCACGGAAUAUUUUCGCAGAUGACACAGGACGUGCGCUCUGGUCCUGCCCAGAUUAAAGGGACGCUGGGCCAUGUGCCUGUGUGGGUGUAGACUCGGAGGGGCACACACCUACUCGUCAUCACAUGACCACUGUCUAUUAAUAUUGUCAUACCUAAACACUCGCAAAAACAAAGUUGCUUUUCUUCCCUGUAAUUAAAUCUAAUUUGUUAAUUGUCUUUCCUCUUGCAAUGUUGUUUUCAUCUUAAGAGGUGACACAUUAUUAUUUUGUCUGUCUAAUAUUAUUUACAAAUUAAUGCUGUAUAUUUUACAUUAGUGAAACAUAUAAUUAGGUGUUUGGUUCAAUCGGUAACAUUCAGAUAAACAAAGCCUAUCUGCAAGAUUGAUUGGAAGUGGAAUAGUUGGUUCUAAUUUACCAUCACAGUCACAGUUUAUUGAAGCUACCUGGCCCCAGAUUCACAGAAGCUAGUUUUACCUAAGGUGCAUUUGAAGCUUUGUUUACAAGUAUUUUCCCCAACCACUUAAUGCAAAAAAAAAAAAAGGUCAAAUAUUAGGGCUUUAAUUUUCUGUCUUCUUUCACUGCUCCCCCCACCCAAAGUUCCUUUCUUCUAUUCUCUGGCCACCUCUCUCCCUCUCUCUGGUUCCUCCCCCACCCC